CAGCCAUUCCUUCCUCAUCCUUCCCCUGCCUUAGCCGCGCGCCUGGUUAUUUGAACCCCACUGCCGCCGGCCAUGGCGCAGAAGGACGGCCGGCCGGCCUCACACAAGUGUCAGUCAUCACAACCUAGCUAGCUAGAAGGAGGCAGUACAGUACACAUGGCUCCCUCCGUGAUGGCUACAUGGCGUCGUCGGCCACCGCCGCCGUCGCGGCUCCAUUCCAGGGGCUCAAGUCCACCGCCGGAGGACUCCCCAUCGCCCGCCGCUCCACCAACGGCGAAAGGAUCAGCUGCAUGCAGGACACGUGUGGCCGAUCCAAAGCAUCUACCAGCUGCCGCCAUUGUCGACGGAGGAGCUGCUGAAGCAGCAGCAGAAGAUGGAGUACCUGCUGCGCUCCAACUGCUGGGUGCCCUGCCGCCUCGAGUUCAGCAAGGUCGGCUUCCUGGACCGCGAGAACAACGCGAGGUCGCCCGGGUUCAACGACGGCAGACACUACAAAAGAUUUUUUAUUUUUUGACAUUGUAUAUUUCUCAUAGUAUAGACAACUGAUCUCAUAUAUAGCUCACUGUUUAUGACAUUUGUUUCACGCAAAUAGUCACGUCAAAAAUGCGCGUCAUCUUGAAUAACAUUUUUUGACGUUUGCAUUUUUUAUGUCACUAAUUUAUGACAUUAGUUUUUAUGUUUCGAAAUUUAUGACUGGUUUUUACAA